rnacentral:rRNA from 1 species
GUUGAACGCUGGCGGCGUGCCUAACACAUGCAAGUCGAGCGGAUGAGGAAAGCUUGCUUUUCGAUUCAGCGGCGGACGGGUGAGUAACACGUGGGUAACCUGCCUGACAGACUGGGAUAACGCUUGGAAACGAGUGCUAAUACCAGAUAGGCUGCUUGGUCGCAUGACCGAGCAGGGAAAGAAGCUAUCGCUUCACUGUCAGAUGGACCCGCGGCGCAUUAGCUAGUUGGUGAGGUAACGGCUCACCAAGGCGACGAUGCGUAGCCGACCUGAGAGGGUGACCGGCCACACUGGGACUGGGACACGGCCCAGACUCCUACGGGAGGCAGCAGUGGGGAAUUUUUCGCAAUGGGGGAAACCCUGACGAAGCAACGCCGCGUGGAGGAUGAAGGCCUUCGGGUCGUAAACUCCUGUCGACUGGGAAGAAUGCACCUGACCUAAUACGUCAAAGUGUUGACUGUACCGGUGGAGGAAGCCACGGCUAACUCUGUGCCAGCCGCCGCAGUAAUAC